rnacentral:rRNA from 1 species
GGUUGAUCCUGCCAGUAGUCAUAUGCUUGUCUCAAAGAUUAAGCCAUGCAUGUCUAAGUGUAAAUGAAGUUUACAAAAGUGAAACUGCGACGGCUCAUUAAAUCAGUUAUAGUUUAUUUGAUAUUUGUAAUUUCAAUCAAUUUUAAAUUACUACAUGGAUAACCGUGGUAAUUCUAGAGCUAAUACAUGCAAUUUAUAAUAUUUUAAUAUUAUAUGAAGGUCUUGACUUUCUCUCCUGUUAAAGGGAAGGGAAGGAAGAGAUGUAUUUAUUAGAUAAAAAAAACCAGCUUUU